CGAACUCAUAUAUUCAUUGUUGCCGGAAUAUGUAACAGGAUGACGUCAGCUUUUCUGUCAAUGCAGAAGCAUCUCACCCACUUCCACGUAGCAAAUCAGUGGUCAGCACUUUACACCACUUAAUAUCUUUGAAUCCAAACCCCAGCUCCUGAAGGGAAAAAGGAAAAUAUGUGCGAAAGUCUGAGAUGCAUAUUCCCACAUAGCUGUCCAGAACACAGCAGGUAACCGUUUGAAUGAAGGUUCCCAGCCCGAGCUGUCGACUGGUUGCUGAGUUCCUCCAACAUUCUCUGUGUGUUUGCUUCUGUUUGUUUAUUGAUUAAAAUAAUCAGACUGGUUCAGUGGAAGAGGAAUUUGUGGAAUGGUCAGAGACAGUUUCAUACAGUAGUUUAUUUACCCAGGAACAUGCCAUUUCAGUUGUAAUCUGUGUAAAGAGGUGGUAUUACAGAGAGUUCUUGCGGUGAAGGAUCCUGAAUAUGAGCAGUGGCAGAUGUUUAAGGAGAAGGUUCGUUAGAGCCGACAUUUAUCCCGAUCAGACAGAGGAAUCACAGGGAGCAAACAACAGUCUGUGGUUAAAAGAGUUCAAGAAUUUUGUUGAGAAAUCUGUCCGCGACCAAGGCAGUUCAUACUGGAUUGGAAAAUGCAACUAUGGGAGAGUGGCCUCGAAUAUCGUGUUCCAAAUGAAGGCUGGAGUCUUCGAAUGCAUUGAAUGUGGAUGGUACCCUCACUUUGAACAUUGCAGUGAGGAUAAGCGUUGCUUCAUCUGCGAGAAGUCGGCGCUUCUGUGCU